rnacentral:rRNA from 1 species
CAGUCGCCGCGGUAAUACGUAGGUGGCAAGCGUUGUCCGGAAUUAUUGGGCGUAAAGGGCUCGCAGGCGGUUUCUUAAGUCUGAUGUGAAAGCCCCCGGCUCAACCGGGGAGGGUCAUUGGAAACUGGGAAACUAGAGUGCAGAAGAGGAGAGUGGAAUUCCACGUGUAGCGGUGAAAUGCGUAGAGAUGUGGAGGAACACCAGUGGCGAAGGCGACUCUCUGGUCUGUAACUGACGCUGAGGAGCGAAAGCGUGGGGAGCGAACAGGAUUAGAUACCCCUGUAGUCCCUGUCUCUUAUAC